rnacentral:tRNA from 1 species
AAAGUAAUAAUUCAUAAAAACUGCUAAUUUUUAUUUGUCCUUUUUUAUUUUCAAGGGCUUACUUUG